CACGUAGGGGGCGAGCGUUGUCCGGAUUCAUUGGGCGUAAAGGGUGCGUAGGUGGCGUCGUAAGUCGGUUGUGAAAUCUCCGGGCUUAACUCGGAAAGGUCAACUGAUACUGCGCGGCUAGAGUGCAGAAGGGGCAACUGGAAUUCUCGGUGUAGCGGUGAAAUGCGUAGAUAUCGGGAAGAACACCCGUGGCGAAGGCGGCUCUCUGGGCCCUACCUGACGCUGAGACGCGAAAGCGUGGGGAGCGAACCGG
rnacentral:rRNA from 1 species